GUGUCAGUAGUUUAAUGGCAAAACACCCGAAUGUGAAUCGGGAGCUGAGGGUUCGAUCCCCCCUGACACC
rnacentral:tRNA from 1 species